CUACGGGCUGCAGCAGUGAGGAAUAUUGCACAAUGGGGGGAACCCUGAUGCAGCAACGCCGCGUGGAGGAUGACGCAUUUCGGUGUGUAAACUCCUUUUAUAUGUCAAGAAAAUGACGGUAGCAUAUGAAUAAGCACCGGCUAACUCCGUGCCAGCAGCCGCGGUAAUACGGAGGGUGCGAGCGUUACUCGGAAUCACUGGGCGUAAAGGACGCGUAGGCGGGUUGGAAAGUCAGGUGUGAAAUCCUACAGCUUAGCUGUAGAACUGCACUUGAAACUUCUAAUCUAGAGUAUGGGAGGGGGAGAUGGAAUUAGUGGUGUAGGGGUAAAAUCCGUAGAUAUCACUAGGAAUACCUAAAGCGAAGGCGAUCUCCUGGAACAUUACUGACGCUAAGGCGUGAAAGCGUGGGGAGCAAACAGGAUUAGAUACCCGGGUAGUC
rnacentral:rRNA from 1 species